UUAAGUGACGAUAGCCUAGGAGAUACACCUGUACCCAUGCCGAACACAGCAGUUAAGCCCUAGAACGCCGGAAGUAGUUGGGGAUUGCCCCCUGUGAGAUAUGGUAGUCGCUUAGC
rnacentral:rRNA from 1 species